UAAAUGAUUUUUUUAAUAAAUUUUGGUAUUGCAUAUCAUUUAAGUAAAAUUUUAUUUUUAUAAAAUAUAAAAUUAGAAAGUAGAAUUUUUCAUUUUUUUAUUGUUUCAUAAUAAAAAAUAGAAAAUUUAGGGUUGAAAAGUCGAUUUCUAAGAUAUUUGUGUUAUUUUUUUUAUUAGAAAUUUAUAUUAUAAUAUUUUAUUUUUAUAAAUAGUAAAAGUUAAAGUAUUUGUUUUUUUAGUUUUAUAACUGUUUAUUGUGUUUAUUAGUUUUUUAGUUUUAAUAUUUAUCUAUAUUGGGUUAAAUAAAUUAUCUUAAAAUUAGUAAAUAAGUUAAAUUUUGUUUUGAGUUUUAUUAUAAAUUUAAGAAAUAAGAAAUUAAUCAAAUGUUUUUUAAAGACUUAGACUUUUAAAUAAAGUUUGCUUCUGCCCAAUGAUUAUUAUUAAAUGGCAGUCUUAGCGUGAGGACAUUAAGGUAGCAAAAUAAUUUGUGCUUUUAUUGAGUUCCAGUAUGAAUGAAGUUAUUGGUUAAUUAUAUUUUUUUUUUUUAAUUGAAGUUUGAUUAGUAUAAAAAAGUAUUAUUAUAAUUAAACAAAGAUAAGUCUUCGGAAAUUCUUUUAUGUAUAAUUAGUGUUUAGUUAUAUAUAAAUUUUCUAGGGUAGAAAAUUUUAUAAUAUAGGUUUAUCUAUUAAUAAAUUUAUGAAUUACUCCGGAGUUAACAGAAAAUCAUAUCUAAUCUAGUUCUUAUAGUAGGAUAAGUUUUACAUCGAUGUUGUAUUUAAGUUUUUUAAGAGAGGAGAAUACUUAAAUUUUGAGACUGUUCUUCUUUUAAUUAAUUUAACGUGAUAUUAGUUUAAUUCAUUGUGAGAUAGAAUUGUUUAUCUUGUUAAUUAUUUAUUUGUAAUUUUAAUAGUACGAAAGGAAAAUUAAAAAAAGUUUUAAACUUUAUAAAGUUAAUCUUUU
rnacentral:rRNA from 1 species